AAAACUCAUACUAAGAGUAUAUGGUGGAUGCCUUGACAUAAAAAGUCGAUGAAGGACGCGGUGUAACUGCGAAAAGCCUCGGUGAGCCGUUAACAGGCCGUGACCCGGGGGUAUCCGAAUGGGGAAACCCUUCUGAGCAAACCUCAGAAAUUAUUAUCUGAAUUAAGUAAGGUAAUAAAGAGAACCUAGGGAAGUGAAACAUCUCAGUACCUAGAGGAAAAGAAAAAAAUGUUAAUAUUGAUAACGGUGGCAGACAUUAUUUUAAUGCCUGCAUCGGUAUCGGUAUUAUUAAUUCCCUGAGUAGUGGCGAGCGAAACGGGAAAAGCCUAAACCUUUUUUAUUUCUUUACUGAAAUAAAGCGGGUGUUGCAAGGUGGGUGCGUUAUCGGAGUGAUCCGAUACAGAGCUGAUUAAAUGUAAUUUGAUUAGUCAAAUGUUCCUGGAAAGGACGACCAAAGAAGGUGAUAGUCCCGUAGACGAAAAUCAUUACAUGCUCUGAGUAUCUAUUCUUAAGUACCAUAGGGCCAGAGAAACCCUAUGGGAAUCCGGCAGUACUACUAACUCCCGAGAAAUCGGGACUGCCAAGGCUAAAUACUUUUUAUGAUCGAUAGUGAACAAGUACCGUGAGGGAAAGGUGAAAAGUAGCCCGUUUAGGGCAGUGAAAUAGAAACUGAAAUCAUAUACUUACAACGAGUGGGAGUCCCGAGUUCUCGGGAUGACCGCGUGCUUUUUGCAGAACGAACCAACGAGUUUGCUAGGUAUUGCAAGUCUAAGCUCUUCGGAGCGGAGGCGUAGUGAAAGCGAGGGUUAAAUGCCCGUUUAGCAAUACUUACAAGACCCGAAACCAGGUGAGCUAGCCAUGAGCAGGAUGAACCUCAACGAAAGUUGAGAGGAGGUCCGAACCCAUUAGCCGUGCAAUACUAUGGGAUGACUUGUGGUUAGGGAUGAAAUUUCAAUCGAACUUGGUAAUAGCUGGUUCUCUCCGAAAUAGCUAUAGGGCUAGCGUCUUCCGUUUCGCUUUGGGGGUAGAGCACUGAAUGGACACGGCUGGACUUUUGUCUACCUUGUCCAAACAAACUCCGAAUACCAAAGUGCCAGAGAAGGGCAGUCAGAACGUGAGGGCUAAGCUUCACGCUCAAAAGGGGAACAGCCCAGAUCGUCGUCUAAGGUCCCUAAAUCUAUGCUAAGUGAUUUUAAGGAAGUGAGGUUUCUUAAACAGCUAGGAAGUUGGCUUAGAAGCAGCCAUCUUUUAAAGAGUGCGUAACAGCUCACUAGUCUACUGAAAUCUUGCGCCGAAAAUGUCCGGGGCUAAGCAUAGUACCGAAGACACGGAUGCCAAUGCGAAGCAUUGGAAAUUCGAAUAUCGAAUAUCGAAUAUCGAAACAAAUUUUAAUUACCAAAAUCUUAAAUUCCGAACUGUUUAGAAUUUGAAAAAUUAGGAUUUAGGAUUUGUUUAGUCCCGAGUACUCGGGAUAGAAUUUCGGAUUUUCUUUACUUAACCUCUUCUAUUCCGCCUUUCAUAUAAAACGCAUUCUCUUCUUUGCUGUCGUGUUUUCCUUCCAAAAUUUC
rnacentral:rRNA from 1 species